rnacentral:misc_RNA from 1 species
UUUCCGUAGGUGAACCUGCGGAAGGAUCAUUAUUGUAUAACCGAGGUGCGAGGGCUGUCGCUGACCCGAAAGGUCGUGCACGCCCGAGUGCCCUCACACACAUCCAACUCACCCCUAUGUGCACCACCGCGUGGGUCCCCCUUUGGCUUGUUCGGAGGGGGGCUUACGUUUUCACACAAACUUUGUAUGCAGUGUAGAAUGUAUUUUUUGUUUUUGCGAUCACGCAAUCAAUACAACUUUCAACAACGGAUCUCUUGGCUCUCGCACGAUGAAGAACGCAGC